UACGGAGGGGGCUAGCGUUGUUCGGAAUUACUGGGCGUAAAGCGCGCGUAGGCGGAUCUGCAAGUCGGGGGUGAAAUCCCGAGGCUCAACCUCGGAACUGCCUUCGAUACUGCGGGUCUCGAGUCCGGGAGAGGUGAGUGGAAUUCCUAGUGUAGAGGUGAAAUUCGUAGAUAUUAGGAAGAACACCAGUGGCGAAGGCGGCUCACUGGCCCGGUACUGACGCGUGAGGCGGCGAAAAGCGUGGGGAGCAAACAGG
rnacentral:rRNA from 1 species